rnacentral:tRNA from 1 species
GGCAGUUUAGCUUAAUGGUAAAGCACUCAGUUGGAGUUUUUGAAGGAUGUGGGUUUGGGUCCCAUGGCUGUCU